CGCCCCGGUGGCCCGACUCGGGGUAUGGUAACAGCACAGAGCAUGAGCCGAGAGGCGAAAUGGAUAAUCCGCAGCCAAGUCCUAAGGCAUUUGAAGCUAUGGACACAGUUCACAGACUAAAUGGCGGCGGGCCCAUAGGGCUCAAGUUAUAGUCGAUCCGCCCCGAGAGGGGCCGAGGGGAUGAAGCCAUGCCCGAAUCCCCACGGAGGCCGUUCAGGCCUCGGGCGAAAUGCUAGUAGCUGGUUCCUGCCGAAGUUUCCCUCAGGAUAGCAGAAGCUUGUACAGUUUUAUGAGGUAAAGCGAAUGAUUAGAGGCCUUGGGGUCGAAAUGACCUUAACCUAUUCUCAAACUUUAAAUAUGUAAGAAGUCCUUGUCACUUAGUUGGACCUGGACACUCGAAUGAGAGCUUCUAGUGGGCCAUUUUUGGUAAGCAGAACUGGCGAUGCGGGAUGAACCGAACGUGGGGUUAAGGUGCCGGAAUGCACGCUCAUCAGACACCAUAAAAGGUGUUGGUUCAUCUA
rnacentral:rRNA from 1 species